GGGGGGGGGGGGGGGGGGGGGUGGGACGGGGGGGUCGGGCGAACAGACGAGGAGCUUGCUCCUCGGACGUUCGCGGCGGACGGGUGAGUAACACGUGGAUAAACUACCUAUCAGACUGGGAGAACUUCGGGAAACCGGAGCUAAUACCGGAUAAUGUAUUGAACCGCAUGUGUCCAGAGUGAAGGCCGCAUUUGCUGUCUCUUAUAGAUGGAUCCGGGCCGCCUGAGCUCGUGGGUGAGGUAACGGCCUACCAAGGCGACCAUGCGUACCCCACCUGGGAGGGUGAUCGGCCACACUGGAACUGAGACACGGUCCAGACUCAUACGGGAGGCAGCAGUAGGGAAUCUUCCGCAAUGGGCGAAAGCCUGACGGAGCAACGCCGCGUGAGUGAUGAAGGUCUUCGGAUCGUAAAACUCUGUUAUUAGGGAAGAACAAAUGUGUAAGUAACUAUGCACGUCUUGACGGUACCUAAUCAGAAAGCCACGGCUAACUACGUG
rnacentral:rRNA from 1 species